rnacentral:lncRNA from 1 species
UUUUUUUUUUUGGCAGAUAAUACUUUUGGUAAAUCAAAUGUUUCUCUGGUUGUGGCUUAAAAUUGUGUCCCCUCAGCAGUCCCUGAUGGUUUCUCCCAACUCCAGAUUACUAAUAAAGAGUUAGAAAAAUCACCAUGAAUAAUGGGUUUGAUAGGACUUUCAGAUUAAUAUAAUUGAGUAAAGUCCCCUUUUGUUAAAAAAAAAAGUCUCCUCCAGACAAUGUAAGGUGAACAACUAUGCUGGUUUGCCCAGACUGAAUGGUUUCCCAGGGCACUGAACUCUCAAUUGCUGAAUCUGGGAUAGUCAGGGAAAACCAGAAUGUUCAGUUACUCUAGAGAAAGAUCAAGAAAAUCUCUAUUUCCAAGGAAAGUAAAAAACAACUGUAGUCCUUAUUCCCACGGUGUGUUUGGACGAAUUGGGGCAAGGAAAGGAACAUGUUUACAAUGAGGUUGGUCAAGCCCAGUGGCUUCAGUGUGGCCAGCUGAGAAGCAAGCUUUCCAGCACUACUCCAGGAAGUGUCAGGAAUCAGGAACCCCUGCAUCUCCAGACAGCAGGUGUGGGAAAGGCAUUGGAAGUUCUAAAGAGCUGCCACGUGGCCCUUUUCUUCUUCCCACCAUUAUCAGACACUUCUAGCAAUCCUUCAACUCCUCUGAGCCUCACCUGUCUCAUUGCUCCAGCAGCUGAGUAUUAAUCAACCCUAUGUGAGUUUUGGCAAACUUCAGGGACGCCAUGAUGUCCUCAAGCCCUUGCCUUAGGCCCUGCUUUCUGGGAACCCAAGCAUGCAAGCCACUCCAAUAGAAGACAUUUCAUUUUCUGGAGACAGUGAAUCGAGAGGCUCUGGAAACUUUAAGAACUGGGACAGAACUCAACCUACAACUCACUGAAAGGAAUAUGAUCCAAAGAGAAUAUGGAGUCAGGUCUACUUUUUCAAUGGAAACAUCUCUAGUCUAACUAUGGAAGUGUUUCUAGUCUGGGUGCAAGUGGCAGAAGUGGUUUGGGCUGCUUGGCUGCUGUGCACCUCCCCCUACAGGAGAUGGGUGGGGGUGUGGAGGUUUAAAUCUUCCUCAUCAUAAUUUCUAAAAUAAGUUCUCUCAAACCUCUGUGAGUUGAGUUUAACCCUGAAGAAAUUUAGAAAGAAAUUUUGAAUAUGCCUUUAUUUGAAAAAAGUGAUCAAAGCUUGUCUAUUCUUCAGUGGCCAGAGAAACCUGUGACCUAUUGUUUUGUACUACAUACACUUCAUGUAUUUCUAAUAAGGUGACUUUCCAGAAAGUGAAAUUUCUUAUGUUCUGGCUUUUAAAUGGUGAAAUACAAAUAAAUUCCAUAACAUAUUUAAAAACAAAACAAACAAAUAGUGGCCCACCUGAAUGGAACAGGCUGAGAGAAUGAAGAACCAGGAGCCAGGAGUGUGCCCAGCCUAGACCACUGUGUGCCCCACAGGAGCAUCUGGGCACCAAGGGCCUGACUUCCCACAUGAAGAACAGGAUGGGAUCUGCUCUUGGUGAGGAGCCCAGGCUGCCAGUGGUUCACGGCUCACUCAGCCACUCCAGUGCAUCUCAGAACUUAACUCCUGGCCCUGGCUGCAAAAGGAUGCUCACAGGGUCCUCCUUCCACAAGUGUGCAACUGCCCUGAUGCUCAGCCCCCACUGGGGAUCCUGUGCAAGUUCAGGACCCCUGGAGUUGAGCUGAUAUGCAGAAGGCUUCCUCUCUGAACACCCUAGGGUGAGCUUUUCUGUCACUUCUGGGCGGGGGGUCAGAGGGCAGUAACACCAGGCAGUCUGCAAAACCUCAUGUUCCAUAUUUCUCAGGAAUGCCUGUCCUCUUCACGAACAGAAGGUGCCCUAGGACUGAGGGACAGGAGCAUCUUCUAAGAACUCAGAGCAUCCCACAAGGACAUAUAGGAGGUUGGAAUGCGGGGGCAGGGGGAAGGGUUAGUGAAGAAUUCAUCAAUAAUCUUUUUUAAAAAAUAAUCUUUCUUCCUCCACAUUCCAUCUGGUGGAAGUGAGUAAACUGACCUGUGGUCAUCAGUUUAUAUUUUUUGUUCAGCUUUCAUCUAGUGCAUGCUUAGAUGCCUGGUUAAGAAGAUCCCUAGCGCUGGGGAGCUGGUACCACCACACUUCCUCAAUAGUUCCAAAAUAAAUGCUUGCCAACUCCACUGCCUGCUUCCUAAAUUUGGCAGGAAGUCCAGGAUCUCCACAGUCUAAGCCAAUGGCCUCUACACCCUGAGCUGUCCCCAAAUCCAGAGGCUUAUGUGAUCCAAAAGAAGGUCUGUCAACAGCCUUCACUAACUCUUACUCAAGAUAAGAGCCCUUUGGGCUUUUGGCUGGCUGCUGCCCACCCCUAUUGCUGCACAUAUGGAGGUAAAGCCCUAAACCUGAAAGAUGCUUUCCCCUCUCUCUCUCUCUCACUCUCUCUCUCUCUCUCUCUCUCUCUCUCUCUCUCACACACACACACACACACACACACACACACACACACACCACUGAGCUUGACUGUCUGGGGAGGCAUGUUCACCCUCCUUGAGUUAAGAAGGAGUCACUAGUCCCAAGGGAUUUCCCAGCUCACCAAUGAGCAGAGCAGCUCAGGCUGGAGCAGUGAAAAACAAACCCACAUUCAAUCUCCAGCAGAAAAUAAGUUACUUUUAUCUUUGCCUGGACUGCCUGCUACAGACAUUUUCCCCAAUGCAUUUAAUCAAAGGUUAUAUUUUGAGGCAAAACUCUUAAAUGUGAACAAGUUGUCCUGGCAGUAGGCUUUUAUCUUCUUAAGAACUGGUCAACAGAAUUUUGUGAGUGUGCAUGGGUGCUGGGCCCCGAGCGAGGUGCUGUGAUUAGAAGGGGGUGACCAUGAUGAACAGGAGCCAGAAAAUAUUUUUAAAGAAGAGUCUAGAAUUCUCACAUACUUUCCCUGCACUUCCUUCAGCCUCUUGAAAAAGUUAUAAAGGCAAUUAUGAAGAGGAAGCUGUUAGUCAGGAUCUUUGAGAGAAGAACAUGAUGAAAUAUGACUCCUCGGAGGAAUUGAUUACAAAUAGCCUUUAAGUUCAGCACAUUUUAGAGAAGAUUCCUAACUCGCAAGCUUCUCUUCCAUUGUACAUGUAAGAGAUCUUGUGACCACUUCGCCCACUUCAGCAGCCAUACUUCACAAAAACCAGACGAGCUUUGGACUCAAAAUAUAUCUUCCCCAACCCUCCUUAAGAGGGAGUCUCAAAAGGCUUAAGUACUUCUCAGCUGCUAGAAUGGUUUCCUAUUAUUUUAUCUUCUGUCUCACUGAGUUUUUCCUCACUCAUUCAGUUCUCUAAAUUUCCAAAAAGCAUUUUAUGUUUUUCUUCCUCCUUUGGUUUUUCUUUCCUUGUUAGUCUGUUUUCCUUCUUUUCUGUGGGAGAGGAGAGUUUUGAGAUUAUUCCAUUGUGCCAGGUGAUGAUGUCUCUUUGAUUUCUAUACUGUUCACAGAACUUAAGCCGUUGCCACAAAAUGUACAGUUUACAGACUUUCCCCCCAUUUGUAAAGUUAACUUUAUUCUGGUGAGGCACCUUUCAAAACUCUGUUCCAAGUUGAGUAAAGCUACUCAAAUAGUGUGUGGAGAGUGAGGGGGAGCGCUAGGCUCUGGCCCAGAAAACUGCAGGAGUGUUUCAAGUGCUAAAAUAUCUAUAUGAACUGAAAGAGAUAUAAUUGUGCACUGCAAAUGUCACAGAAAGUUUAUUUACACUGAGAGAUUAUGGUCACUAACUGAAUCAAAAUUAGGGGAAUGAUCAUAUGAACAAAUUGCAUGAAAGAGACUCUUCUUCAACAGGGUGUAGCAAUUACCUUUUUUUCAGACUCUCCCCUUGAAGAAUCUGCCAGAAAUUUAGGAUUGGAGGGCUUAAAGGGUUCCCAGAUAAAACCACAUCCCUGAAAACUGAUCUUUCAGCCUAGUUCCAACCACCUCUAACAAUGGAAAACACCAUGCCAAAGACUGUCUUUUUCUUUAGAUUUUUGGUUUUGCUGGAAUAACUCAGUGCCUUUAAGUAUAAACACUUCAAAUAAUCAUUACCCCAAGCCAGGAAGCUGCCUCCUCAUCAUCUAUGACAUUCCUCAUAGUCAGCCAAUAUUUUUAUCCCUAAAACAUAGACCCAUUGGUUCCUGCUUUUCCUUCUCAUAUUGCACAGAAGAAACUGAAUCCAUCUUUUGUGUGAAAACGGUGUACUCAGGGACCACCCAUUGCGCCCCCUCCCUCGCCAUAUUCAUCCCCUUCUACAACAUGUAUACAGUUUCUAGACCACAAGUUAUUCCACACACCUCCCUCUGGAUACCCCUCAGGAGUCUCUUUCACUCUCCUUGAACAGAUGAUUCCUGGUGAGGUCUAAUCAACACAAAAUCCAGCAAGACCACGUAGACACUUUCUAUAAACUCAGCCUAAACCACAGGAGCUUUCUUAGCAAACACAUCUGCUCUUCAUUCAUUGAACUCACAGUUGGUUAAACCAAAUAUCCUCUCUCAUAGAAAUGGACACUUUGACUUCUUAGUCCAAACACAUAGCUUUCCCCUUAGAACUCUUACCCUUUUUGUUUUACCCCCGACAUUCUAGUCUUUUAAAGCUAUUUUUGAUUCCUGCUUCUUUAGCCAACGUAAUGAUUAUUCUUUCUAAUUAAAAAAAUAUUCUCGAUUUGUUUAAUCUGGCAUCAAUGUAUUUUCCUAAACCCAUUUAUUUCAACUGUUGAAUAGAACAAGAUGAAACAGUCUUUUGUCAUGUCUCUACAGAAAUAAACCCAGAUUGACAUCAAUGCAAUAAACUCUUCAUUCUCCUUUGGGUAUAGCCACUCUGGUCCCACUACUCCAGUCUGACAUUAUUAUUAUUAUUAUUAUUAUUAUUAUUUUGCCUUUUAGGGCUGCAACCACUGCAUACAGAGAUUCCCAGGCUAGGGGUCCAAUCGAAGCUACAGCUGCCGGCCUAUGCCACAGCCACAGCAAAGCAGGAUCAGAGCUGCAUCUGCGACCUACACCACAGCUCAUGGCAACACUGGAUCCUUAACCCACUGAGCGAGACCAGGGAUGGAACCCGUAAACUCAUGGUUCCUAGUUGGAUUUGUUUCCGCUGUGCCACAAUGGGAACUCCUAGCCUGAUUUUCUGAAAUACCUUCCCCUGCCCCUUGUUUAAUUUCCUUUAAACAUGGGAAGUAAUAGGAACAUUUAUCAACUCUACUGAGUUUUUACAGAUUGUCAGUUCUCUCAUGCUGACCUACAUGGUGGUGGAUGCAGCCAGGAUGGUUAUUAAUUAUGAGUCACUGGGUGAAUACAUAUGGAGAUGCACACUCCUCCCAAGUACAAUUAAUUACUAUAUUUCUAUUUUACUAAAGACAAGCUCUGUUAACCUUCCCCACUUAGAAUUAAACAGACGAUUUUGUUUGAAAACUGCCUGGUUAAUAAAGAGCUUUUACUCCAAAGUUGAGUUUUCUAUAUAUUUAAAACCUCCUAAUGGAGAACAAAAUCUCAGAAAGAUGUCAAAAGCAGUACCCCAAAAGCUAUUAUCCACAGAAACAAUUGUAAUAACAUCGAGACACCAAGUCAUUGCAAAAACCAGACUGGAACGCCAACUUUCAUGAUAAAAGAUCCUAAAGGCCACCAGCGAAGCUGUAUCCCAUCCUCACAUUAAAAAGUAAUCAAGUUUAUAAAACUGUCACAACAACUUAGGUUCCCAAAAAACAAUUUUCCAGAUUGUGAGUGUUUUAUGAUAUCUUUUUUACCCAAUUUAAUUGGAAUUAAGCUAGUUCAUAUGUAUAUAAACACAAAUGUAAAUCUCUGGAUUGCUUACAAGAAAUUUCAGUCAAAACUUCAUUGGUCUCUAAAAGUUUUCCGGCAAUCUUAACAAGCUUAUAAUAAGAGGGCUUGUUUUCAAGGGUUUGUUAAAGGAAUAUUAUCAUUAAAAUUGCAUAGCCUCAUAGCGUCAUAAGAAUUUAGAAGGGCUUUUUAAAGUCAUCUUAAACUGUUAAGUCCAUAGGUUUAAUUCAAAGCUAAACUCAGAGGGAUGAGGAACCAUGUCCUUCCAAGGAGACUGAUAGAAAAUAUUUCAUAACCAAGAGCUUCCACAGUGUGACACCAUCUCUGAUAUUUAUAAAAAGUUCUAGACAUGACCUGGAUCAUAGCAGCCCUUCCUUUCUGCAGCUCCUCAUGGUGGCUGUCCUGGUGCUGAGGGUGGGUGGGUAUCUGGCUCCCUCCAUCCUAAGGCAGAACACACUAAUGCAUUAGGCGAAUGUGGGUGAAUGUGAAUUCAGUAAGAAUCCCAGGGAAAGACUGAGGAGAAAUUUUUAUAACUUUUCUCACCCAAAAAUUUGUUUGCAGGGACCUCUGCUAGUCACAGGCAAACGCUUGAGUGUAUCUUGUGGUGACAUGGCUGAAGCCUGCUCCCAAAGCCCUUCCAAGUCCAUUAUGAUCCCCAUCUGGUGGGAGGGAGGCAGGUUGUAGCAAGGAUGGUAGAAACACACAGUGUGUUUUCAAAUGAUUAAGUGUUUACAAUACCAGUUAAUUUGGCAAGUCACAUAAACCUUGUAAAUUUCUGUUUCUUCAUUCAGAAAUCAAGAAUGAUAAGAAGGUUUCUGUGAGCAGUUAAUAACAAGAUGGAUAAGACAACCCCUGGGUCACAGAGUAAGGGUUUAAGCUGGACCCUCAGACUCUGAACUCAUGCAAUCUCCAUUACAUAUAACCUUGAACUCUAUAAGGAAAGAGCCAAAGAGAGAAUAAAUCAAGCUCCACCAAGGAACCCUCAUACUAGUAGUGGGAAGCAUCGCUCAUCAAGAAAGAGCCUGGGCUAAUUCAGUGAUUCUUGUAUGAUGUAGUCAAGUCAUCAUCUCACCCACCACGGCGGGGAGACUUAAAUCUCCAAUAAUGUGGCUUUUCAUCUGACCUUCAUAGUCACCUGUGCAUCAGACAGGUCGGUUAAUGCUCUCCCAGGACACAGGUUCAGAGGAGAUCACUGAGCUAUUAAAUAUGAAGCUGGGACCCACGACCAGUCUCUGGCUUCCUAGCUUGGAGUUUUUACAACUGCCCAUUUCUCCCCACUUGUUACCAUAAAUUAUUUGCUCAAAGCCUCCUUUUACUUUCAUUGUAUCGCGGUGCUCUGCAUGUCAUAGAUUGGCCUUUCUCAGUAAAAUGGGUUCGCCGUGUUUCUCAAAGGAAGCCGUUACCAAGUAGUGCAUCACUGCUGGAAGAUGGUAUCUCCAUUCCCAAUGAAGGAAAGACUUCUGAUUUUCAUGCUGCCCGCAGUUUUCAGCAGGUCCUAACCUGCCUCUUUUAACAUUGACCUUAUGGUGGAUCCCAAUGGAUUUGACUGACAGCUGACAGAGAUGCCACCCCUGUAUCACUUUAGUCAAUACCCCAACACACUGAAGCACCCCGAUUGUGAAUUUCCUAAGUAGUAAUUAUUUGGCUAUAUGCCUGUUAAUAUAGUUGGUAGAGACUAAAUCACGCUGAUCGAUCUUUUUGCUUCUCUGCCUUUAACGAUCUGUGUUUACAGUACUAUGCCACCCUCAGGAAUUUUUUAUUACAAAAGAGUUGCCUAUAUAAAGAUUUUGUGAACCUAGUAAAGAUGAAUUUGGGUACAAAAUCAGAUUAUCUUAGAGACAUAUGUAAGAACAUUCACAAGUGCAUUUAUUAAUAUUUGAUGCACCGAAAAAACCAGAGUGAGGGGGGAAAGCAUCUGUGGUGAGAUGAACAUAUGUAGCAAGUUUGUUCAUUGCUUGUUUGAGACUGUUGAUCUGUCAAUAUAUAUGCUGGUUAAUUACUCAACUUGUAAGUGUUAAAUCUGAGGGAUCUGCUAAGAGAAGAAGUACAGUAAAGAAGAGUAAGUUAGUUAGUAUCCAAUUAUAGAAACUAUUAAAAUGUAUGGAGAAAGAUGUUCCCAACUCAGUUUAGAGUUACCCUCGUUCAACCGUGGAAGAAACCAAGGAUAUAAAUUGUUUGAGUCAACAUUUAAGAAUCUGAAACAAAGGCAUAAAGUAGAGACGAUGUUUUUUAUUUCUUGUGAAAAAUGCUUCCUGAUAAAUUUUGAUGCUAAACUCUAAAUAUUCCAGGCACUUUGAUUAGUUUUGUAAAGUAACGGGAAAGGCUAUAUGAAUGCAUUAAAAGCAGAAUAAACAUGAUAUGGCAGUAAAUGUUAAAGAGUGAUUUGGGGCUUUGGGGGAAGGAAAGGUGAUAUGUGUUUACUUAAUGUCACCUUGACUUAACAGAGUAUUGAUACCAUAACUGGCCUGAGGAAUGCACCUCCUUCGAAAAUCUAUAUUUGGACAAUAAGCUACCCAAAAGUUUGGUUUUCAAAUACAAACAUAAACAUACAUAGCAACAACCCCAUUCCCCCAAAUGUUAUUAUAUAAAGUCUCACUUUAUGCCUACAUAUUUUUAGAGAAACUAUAUCCUUUUCCAACAUGGUAUGGCGUGAUUAUUUAGUUACUUUUCAGCUUUAUGUAUUCACCCAAACUGCAUCUUUCGUACAAAUAAGUAAUGCAAUUUUCUAAUAGAACGAACCUGUGGUUACUAUUUGAGAUGCUCUAUUAAACAAAUUACUCAUGAAAACCUUUAUUGGCUCUUUCUUCUUCACAAGUGGGAGGCAGUUGGAAGUUUACCACUACCAGAUGGAGUGGGAAAUAUCUGCCCAGGCUGGGUAAUGCUGCUCUGACAUCAAGGGACAGAAAUUUCUAGAAAACUCUCUGAAAGUGGAGAAAGUUCUCACUUUUACUUGUUAUGUCUUUUUUUUUUUUUUUUUUUCUUCUGGCCACGCCUGCAGCAUGCGGCAUUUCCUGGGCUGGGAUUGAACUUAUGCCACAGCACUGACCUGAGCCACAGCGGUGACAAUGCCAGACCCUUAACCCGCUGAGCCAUGGGGAACUCUUUGUUUUGUCUUUUCGAUAUGGAUCUUAUAAAGGACAGCUUAUGUAAGCAUCAUUUCCAAGAUUACUGUCCUUCGGACAGGGGUGGCAGUCAUGGCUUUUUAACAGCACACAGCAGUGCCAGGGUAUCCCUCCCUCACUUGGAGAGGGGCUCACAGUGGUACCUGACCUUGCUGUUGACCCAGCAAACCUCCUUUGCCACAAUCAAAAGCUAGGAAAGCUCCCCAACCUCUGGUUCCACGCCUGAGGCUUCUGUCCUCUGCAGCCCGUUAUUCUGGCUCUCAGUG